rnacentral:rRNA from 1 species
GUGUCAGCAGCCGCGGUAAUACGUAGGGGGCAAGCGUUGUCCGGAAUUAUUGGGCGUAAAGCGCGCGCAGGCGGUCAAUUAAGUUGGGUGUUUAAGCCCGGGGCUCAACCCCGGUUCGCAUCCAAAACUGGUUGACUUGAGUGUAGGAGAGGAAAGUGGAAUUCCACGUGUAGCGGUGAAAUGCGUAGAGAUGUGGAGGAACACCAGUGGCGAAGGCGACUUUCUGGCCUAUAACUGACGCUGAGGCGCGAAAGCGUGGGGAGCAAACAGGAUUAGAUACCCGCGUAGUCC